UUUACGGAGAGUUUGAUUCUGGCUCAGAGCGAACGCUGGCGGCGUGGAUAAGACAUGCAAGUCGAACGAAGCUUGUUCCUUGGCAACAAGGAACAAGUUCAGUGGCGAACGGGUGAGUAACACGUGGGAACUUACCCUGAAGUGGGGAAUAGCCCAUCGAAAGAUGGGGUAAUUCCGCAUGUGAUCGAAAGAUCAAAGUAGGGGACCUGCAAAGGCCUUACGCUUCAGGAGAGGCCCGCGGCCCAUCAGCUAGUUGGUGAGGUAAUGGCCCACCAAGGCUAAGACGGGUAGCUGGCCUGAGAGGGUGGUCAGCCACACUGGGACUGAGACACGGCCCAGACACCUACGGGUGGCAGCAGUCGAGAAUUUUUCACAAUGGGCGAAAGCCUGAUGGAGCGACGCCGCGUGGAGGAUGAAGGCCUUCGGGUUGUAAACUCCUGUCACCCUGGACCAAGGCUUUCAAGUUGAAUAAACUUGGAAGUUUGAUUGUACAGGGAGAGGAAGGGACGGCAAACUCUGUGCCAGCAGCCGCGGUAAUACAGAGGUCCCAAGCGUUGCUCGGAUUUACUGGGCGUAAAGGGUGUGUAGGAGGUUAGAUAAGUCGGAUGUGAAAUCCCUUUGCUUAACAAAGGAACUGCAUUCGAUACUGUCUAGCUAGAGGACCGGAGGGGGAAGCGGAACUCUCGGUGUAGCGGUGAAAUGCGUGGAUAUCGAGAGGAACACCGGUGGCGAAGGCGGCUUCCUGGACGGUACCUGACUCUGAUACACGAAAGCUAGGGGAGCGAACGGGAUUAGAUACCCCGGUAGUCCUAGCCGUAAACGGUGUGCGUUAGGCGUUGGCGGAAUCGACCCCGCCAGUGCCGUAGCUAACGCGUUAAACGCACCGCCUGAGGAGUACGGCCGCAAGGCUAAAACUCAAAGAAAUUGACGGGGGCCCGCACAAGCGGUGGAGCAUGUGGCUUAAUUCGAUGCAACGCGAAGAACCUUACCAGGCCUUGACAUGCCGUGUUCAGUUGCUGAAAGGCAAUGGCCCGCAAGGGCGAACGGCACAGGUGCUGCAUGGCUGUCGUCAGCUCGUGUCGUGAGAUGUUGGGUUAAGUCCCGCAACGAGCGCAACCCCUAUGUCCAGUUGCCGAAAGGCUCUCUGAACAGACUGCCUCGUAUAACGGGGAGGAAGGUGGGGACGACGUCAAGUCAGGAUGGCCCUUAUGGCCUGGGCUGCACACGUGUUACAAUGCCCGGUACAGAGGGAAGCAAGACCGCGAGGUGGAGCAAAUCCCAAAAACCGGGCCCAGUUCAGAUCGAAGGCUGCAACUCGCCUUCGUGAAGCCGGAAUCGCUAGUAAUGGCGCAUCAGCUACGGCGCCGUGAAUACGUUCCCGGGCCUUGUACACACCGCCCGUCACAUCCUGAAAGCUGGUUGUACCCGAAGCCAACCGUAAGGUUGUCGAAGGUAUGGCUAGUGAUUGGGAUGAAGUCGUAACAAGGUAGCCGUAGGGGAACCUGCGGCUGGAUCACCUCCUUU
rnacentral:rRNA from 2 species